rnacentral:rRNA from 1 species
AUUUGUCUGGUUAAUUCCGAUAACGAACGAGACCUUAACCUGCUAACUAGUCUCCUUCAUUUUAUGGAGUUUGACUUCUUAGAGGGACUAUGCAUGUCAAGUGCAUGGAAGUUUGAGGCAAUAACAGGUCUGUGAUGCCCUUAUAUGUCCUGGGCUGCACGCGUGCUACACUGAUGCAUACAACAAGUGCCUAGCUAGACAUAGUAUGGCAAUCUGGAAUAUGCAUCGUGAUGGGGAUAGAUCUUUGCAAUUAUAGAUCUUGAACGAGGAAUUCCUAGUAAGUGCAAGUCAUCAUCUUGCAUUGAUUAUGUCCCUGCCCUUUGUACACACCGCCCGUCGCUCCUACCGAUACCGGGUGAUCCGGUGAACCUUUUGGACCUCGCAAGAGGAAAAAUAAGUAAACCACAUCACCUAGAGGAAGGAGAAGUCGUAACAAGGUUUCCGUAGGUGAACCUGCRGAAGGAUCA